AGAGUUUGAUCCUGGCUCAGGAUGAACGCUAGCGACAGGCCUAACACAUGCAAGUCGCAGGGGUAUAAGUAGCUUGCUACUUAGAGACCGGCGCACGGGUGAGUAACGCGUAUGCAACCUACCUUUUACUGGGGGAUAGCCCAAAGAAAUUUGGAUUAAUACCGCAUAACAAUUAAGAAUCGCAUGGUUUUUAAUUUAAAGCUUCGGUGGUAAAAGAUGGGCAUGCGUACCAUUAGUUUGUUGGUGAGGUAACGGCUCACCAAGACUAUGAUGCUUAGGGGGUCUGAGAGGAUAGUCCCCCACACUGGUACUGAGACACGGACCAGACUCCUACGGGAGGCAGCAGUGAGGAAUAUUGGACAAUGGGCGCAAGCCUGAUCCAGCCAUGCCGCGUGCAGGAAGACUGCCCUAUGGGUUGUAAACUGCUUUUAUACAGGAAGAAUAAGGAGUACGUGUACUCUGAUGACGGUACUGUAAGAAUAAGGACCGGCUAACUCCGUGCCAGCAGCCGCGGUAAUACGGAGGGUCCGAGCGUUAUCCGGAAUUAUUGGGUUUAAAGGGUCCGUAGGCGGGCUGUUAAGUCAGGGGUGAAAGUCUUCGGCUCAACCGAAGAAUUGCCUUUGAUACUGGCGGUCUUGAGUUAUGGUGAAGUGGCUAGAAUAUGUAGUGUAGCGGUGAAAUGCAUAGAUAUUACAUAGAAUACCGAUUGCGAAGGCAGGUCACUAACCAUUAACUGACGCUGAUGGACGAAAGCGUGGGUAGCGAACAGGAUUAGAUACCCUGGUAGUCCACGCCGUAAACGAUGGAUACUAGCUGUUCGGGUGCAAACCUGAGUGGCUAAGCGAAAGUGAUAAGUAUCCCACCUGGGGAGUACGUUCGCAAGAAUGAAACUCAAAUGAAUUGACGG
rnacentral:rRNA from 1 species